AGCGGGGGAGGUUGCUUCGGUAAUUGACCUAGCGGCGGACGGGUGAGUAAUACUUAGGAAUCUGCCUAUUAAUGGGGGACAACAUCUCGAAAGGGAUGCUAAUACCGCAUACGCCCUACGGGGGAAAGCAGGGGAUCACUUGUGACCUUGCGUUAAUAGAUGAGCCUAAGUCGGAUUAGCUAGUUGGUGGGGUAAAGGCCUACCAAGGCGACGAUCUGUAGCGGGUCUGAGAGGAUGAUCCGCCACACUGGGACUGAGACACGGCCCAGACUCCUACGGGAGGCAGCAGUGGGGAAUAUUGGACAAUGGGGGGAACCCUGAUCCAGCCAUGCCGCGUGUGUGAAGAAGGCCUUAUGGUUGUAAAGCACUUUAAGCGAGGAGGAGGCUCUUUUGGUUAAUACCCAAGAUGAGUGGACGUUACUCGCAGAAUAAGCACCGGCUAACUCUGUGCCAGCAGCCGCGGUAAUACAGAGGGUGCGAGCGUUAAUCGGAUUUACUGGGCGUAAAGCGUGCGUAGGCGGCUUUUUAAGUCGGAUGUGAAAUCCCCGAGCUUAACUUGGGAAUUGCAUUCGAUACUGGGAAGCUAGAGUAUGGGAGAGGAUGGUAGAAUUCCAGGUGUAGCGGUGAAAUGCGUAGAGAUCUGGAGGAAUACCGAUGGCGAAGGCAGCCAUCUGGCCUAAUACUGACGCUGAGGUACGAAAGCAUGGGGAGCAAACAGGAUUAGAUACCCUGGUAGUCCAUGCCGUAAACGAUGUCUACUAGCCGUUGGGGUCUUUGAGACUUUAGUGGCGCAGCUAACGCGAUAAGUAGACCGCCUGGGGAGUACGGUCGCAAGACUAAAACUCAAAUGAAUUGACGGGGGCCCGCACAAGCGGUGGAGCAUGUGGUUUAAUUCGAUGCAACGCGAAGAACCUUACCUGGUCUUGACAUAGUAAGAACUUUCCAGAGAUGGAUUGGUGCCUUCGGGAACUUACAUACAGGUGCUGCAUGGCUGUCGUCAGCUCGUGUCGUGAGAUGUUGGGUUAAGUCCCGCAACGAGCGCAACCCUUUUCCUUACUUGCCAGCAUUUCGGAUGGGAACUUUAAGGAUACUGCCAGUGACAAACUGGAGGAAGGCGGGGACGACGUCAAGUCAUCAUGGCCCUUACGACCAGGGCUACACACGUGCUACAAUGGUCGGUACAAAGGGUUGCUACCUAGCGAUAGGAUGCUAAUCUCAAAAAGCCGAUCGUAGUCCGGAUUGGAGUCUGCAACUUCCGUCC
rnacentral:rRNA from 1 species